rnacentral:tRNA from 1 species
CCCUUGGUGGUACAGAUGGUUAACACGUUCAGCUGCUAACUGAAAGACUGGAGGCUCGAGUCCACCCAGGGGA